CGGCGUGGAUUAGGCAUGCAAGUCGAGCGAGAACGGGCCUUUCGGGGCCUUAGUACAGCGGCGAACUGGUGAGUAACAGGUGGGUAACGUGCCCCAAAGUGGGGGAUAACACCGGGAAACCGGUGCUAAUACCGCAUGUGAUCGCCGGGUCCCUGGACCUGGCGGUUAAAGCAGCAAUGCGCUUUGGGAUCGGCCCGCCCCCGAUUAGCUAGUUGGUGAGGUAAGAGCUCACCAAGGCGACGAUCGGUAGCUGGUCUGAGAGGAUGGUCAGCCACACUGGAACUGAGAUACGGUCCAGACUCCUACGGGGGGCAGCAGUCUAGAGGCUUCGGCAAUGGGGGCAACCCUGACCGAGCGACGCCGCGUGUGGGAUCGAAGGCCUUCGGGUCGUAAACCACUGUCAUUGGGGAAGAGUGCCCGCCUGGCGAAGGCGGGAGGGACGGUACCCAAAGAGGAAGCCCCGGCUAACUCCGUGCCAGCAGCCGCGGUAAUACGGAGGGGGCAAGCGUUGUUCGGAUUUACUGGGCGUAAAGGGUGUGUAGGCGGCCGGGUAAGUCUGGUGUGAAAUCUUCACCGCUUAACGGGAAGAGGUCACUGGAAACUGCCGGGCUCGAGUAUGGUAGAGGCAAGCGGAAUUCCUGGUGUAGCGGUGGAAUGUGUAGAUAUCAGGAAGAACAUCUGUGGCGAAGGCGGCUUGCUGGGCCAUCACUGACGCUGAGACACGAAAGCGUGGGGAGCAAACGGGAUUAGAUACCCCGGUAGUCCACGCUGUAAACGGUGCGCACUAGGUGUGAGGGGUAUCGACCCCCCUUGUGCCGAA
rnacentral:rRNA from 1 species